AUUGAACGCUGGCGGCAUGCUUUACACAUGCAAGUCGAACGGUAACAGGCCGCAAGGUGCUGACGAGUGGCGAACGGGUGAGUAAUGCAUCGGAACGUGCCCAGUCGUGGGGGAUAACGCAGCGAAAGCUGCGCUAAUACCGCAUACGAUCUAUGGAUGAAAGCGGGGGACCGUAAGGCCUCGCGCGAUUGGAGCGGCCGAUGUCAGAUUAGGUAGUUGGGGGGGUAAAGGCUCACCAAGCCGACGAUCUGUAGCGGGUCUGGGAGGACGACCAGCCCAACGGGGACGUAGAAACGGCCUAGACUCCUACGGGAGGCAGCAGUGGGGAAUUUUGGACAAUGGGCGAAAGCCUGAUCCAGCAAUGCCGCGUGCAGGAAGAAGGCCUUCGGGUUGUAAACUGCUUUUGUACGGAACGAAACGGCUCUGGUUAAUACCUGGGGCUAAUGACGGUACCGUAAGAAUAAGCACCGGCUAACUACGUGCCAGCCGCCGCGGUAAGAC
rnacentral:rRNA from 1 species